rnacentral:lncRNA from 1 species
AACCUUGGGUACUUGACCUAUAACCCAUCAGGCUAGUGUCAAUACUAUUAAGGUAAUCUGAAACAAAUUCCAACACUUCAUAAAACCAGGCUAGGUGAGUCACAUCUGUAAUCCCAGCACUCAGGAGGGGGAGGCAGGAGGAUCGGAAGUUCAAGGUUAUCCGCAGGUGCUUAGCAAAUUCAAGGCCAUCCUGAGCUAGGAUGGGGUUCAAGGGGGUGGGGAGGAAGGAGAGAGAGGGAGAAAGAAAAAGAAAAUAGAACCAUCCAUAAGUUUAAGACUGGAAACCUAUGAACAGGAGGUAGAGAAAUGACUCAGUUAGCAAAGCACUUGUCACCAAAGCACGAGUACCCAACAUUCAGUAUGUAAAAACUGUCUAUGGUAUACCUGCUUGUAACUCCAACAGUAUGGAGGCAGAGGGGCAAGUAUAUAUCUCAGUUCAGAGCUCAACAUUUUUUGUUGCUUGUUUGAUACAGGAAAUCACUAUGUAGCCAAGGAUCACCUCCUAUUUCUAUUACUUCCAUACCCAGCUAAACUGCCUCUUUAAACUCUUACCCACCCCACUAUUAUUACAGUCUUGCAGAGCAGAAACUAAACAAUGGCACUAUGAAUGAUGACAGAGCUAUUGUCCCCCAUUCUGAGGCAAUUGCAGAGCUCCAGAGCUCUUACCACUCAGCCCUCCUUGCUGCAACUAGUGAGACUUCCAUGUCUGCCAAAUCCUCAGAGAAGCGUCAUAGCCUAUGGGUAAGUACCAAAUACUGACUGAAGAAUAGCCUCUGGUUGUAACUCUACAGCCCCCAAACAUUAUGAACUAGAAGCCUCUUGUGGCCUCUGGCUGAGGUUCUGUAAUACCAAGGAAUGUAACAAUUGUAAUGUAAUGAUCAAAAUUAGAGCCGUUGCUUACAGUUGGUAGAGUUCAGAGCAGAGUGACUGGUGCUCUUGUUGGAAGAGGAAAAGAGACGUUGAUCAGACACCUGGGAGAAGGCAAGAAUAUCCUAUGAUGGAAACAGCAGUAUAAGCCAAAGAGUGCUGAAGAUUGCUGACAACUUCAAGAAGUGAGGAACAGGCAAGGGAGGUAUAGUGCUGUUCCCAUUGCUGUAACAAAAUAUCUGGCUAAGCAACUGAAGGGAGGAAGGGCAAGCUUAUGUUGGCUCACAGUUUUAAGAGACACAGUCUGUCAUGCUGGGAAAGGAACAGCAGGAGUGUGUGGUAGCUGGUUAAGUCACACCAGCUCAGGAGACAGGAAUGCUAGCAUUCAGCUUGCUUUCUUUCCCUUUCACAGUUGGAGACCUGGGACUGGGAUUUCUCUCUUCAGUGAAAACUCUCUAGCAACAUUGCCACAGGCACCCCAGAUGGGUAUGUCCAAGGUGAAUCUAAAUUCUGACAAGUUGACAAAGUUGGCCAUUGAAGAAGGAAUCUGCCCUACAUAUUUUAGGUUGAGCACAGCUUGGGCAGUACCUUGGUUUCCAAGUCUAGCCUUCUGGAAACAGGAAGUGAGAGAGGGUAUGCCUAGUCUUGCAGUGACUUGAUGUGUCAGGGUGGGGUGACACCCUGGAUGAGGGGGCUCCCUCUUCUUAGAGGAGAAGAGGAGGGACAGAAGAGGGUGCUUUGGGGGGUACUGGGAGGAGAGGAGGGCUGGGAUGUAAAGUGAAUAAAUAAAUAAAUGG